GACGAACGCUGGCGGCGUGCUUAACACAUGCAAGUCGAACGCUGAAGCUCAGCUUGCUGGGUGGAUGAGUGGCGAACGGGUGAGUAACACGUGAGUAACCUGCCCCCUUCUUUGGGAUAACGCCCGUAAACGGGUGCUAAUACUGUAUAUUCACUGAUCUUCGCAUGGGGGUUGGUGGAAAGGUUUUUUCUGGUGGGGGAUGGUCUCGCGGCCUAUCUGCUUGUUGGUGGGGUGAUGGCCUACCAAGGCUUUGACGGGUAGCCGGCCUGAGAGGGUGACCGGUAACAUUGGGACGGAGAUACGGCCCAGACUACGACGGGAGGCAGCAGUGGGGAAUAUUGCACAAUGGGCGAAAGCCUGAUGCAGCGACGCCGCGUGAGGGAUGGAGGCCGUCGGGUUGUAAACCUCUUGCGCUAAUGGUCAAGCCGCAACAGUGGUUGUGGUGAGGGUAGUGGGUAAAGAAGCGCCGGCUAACUACGUG
rnacentral:rRNA from 1 species